rnacentral:tRNA from 1 species
GGCCCAUUCGUCUAGCGGCCUAGGACACUGCCCUCUCACGGCGGCGGCACGGGUUCGAAUCCCGUAUGGGCUA